rnacentral:rRNA from 1 species
UACGUAGGGUGCGAGCGUUGUCCGGAUUUAUUGGGCGUAAAGCGCGUGUAGGCGGCCACACAGGUCCGCUGUGAAAACUCGAGGCUCAACCUCGAGCUGUCGGUGGAAACCGUGUGGCUAGAGUCCGGAAGAGGAGACUGGAAUUCCCGGUGUAGCGGUGGAAUGCGCAGAUAUCGGGAGGAACACCCGUGGCGAAGGCGGGUCUCUGGGACGGUACUGACGCUGAGACGCGAAAGCGUGGGGAGCGAACAGG